UACGGAGGGUGCAAGCGUUAUCCGGAUUUACUGGGUUUAAAGGGUGCGUAGGUGGGUAGGUAAGUCAGUGGUGAAAUCUUCAAGCUUAACUUGGAAACUGCCAUUGAUACUAUUUAUCUUGAAUACUUUGGAGGUAAGCGGAAUAUGUCAUGUAGCGGUGAAAUGCUUAGAUAUGACAUAGAACACCAAUUGCGAAGGCAGCUUACUACACAGUAAUUGACACUGAGGCACGAAAGCGUGGGGAUCAAACAGGG
rnacentral:rRNA from 1 species